rnacentral:rRNA from 1 species
UAAGGAAUAUUGGACAAUGGUCGCAAGACUGAUCCAGCCAUGCCGCGUGCAGGAAGACGGCCCUAUGGGUUGUAAACUGCUUUUGUACCAGAGAAAACCUAUCUACGUGUAGAUAGCUGAUAGUAUGGUAAGAAUAAGCAUCGGCUAACUUCGUGCCAGCAGCCGCGGUAAGACGAAGGAUGCAAGCGUUAUCCGGAUUCAUUGGGUUUAAAGGGUGCGUAGGCGGGCUUGUAAGUCAGUGGUGAAAUCUCUCAGCUUAACUGAGAAACUGCCAUUGAUACUGCAGGCCUAGAGUAUAGAUGACGUCGGCGGAAUAUGGCAUGUGGUGGUGAAAUACUUAGAUAUGUCAUAGAACACCGAUUGCGAAGGCAGCUAACGAAACUAUAACUGACGCUGAGGCACGAAAGUGCGGGGAUCAAACA